rnacentral:rRNA from 1 species
AACAGCAGCCAUAUCACUCUGCAACUCACAACUGGCAACUCACUGAAGCUAAGCACGUGUGAGCCUGGUCAGUACUUGGAUGGGAGACCUCCUGGAAAAAACUAAGGUUGCUGCUGGAA